GAAACAAGUGUUUUCUUAUUAUUUUUGAAAUCAAAGAAAAAUGCCAAAAAUAUAUAAGCAACAUUUUCGCGAUGCUUGGCUUAAAGACGAGGAGUUAAAGCAGUAGAUUAAAAAGGAUUGCACGGAUUCAACAAAAGCGUUUUGAUCAUACUGCAAAUGCACAAUAGGCGCAAAACUUUUUGCAAAUCUUCGCCACCAUGCCGCCUCAAAGAAGCACGUGACUGCGAUAGGAGCACUGACGCAAAAAAAUAAGUUGCCUUUUGUUAAAAAGACAACUAAAACGGAGGAGCAGGAAGCGGCAAUAUGUCUUCACAUUGCUAAACAUUCGGCGAUAGCGACAUGUGACCAUUUGUCCAAGCUAUGUGUGCAGCAGUUUUCAGCUUGCCAAGGUGCCGCAAACAUAAAACUGGGCAGAACCAAGUGCACUUACAUAAUAAAAAAUGUCCUUGCGGUGGAGGAGGACUUACAUAAAGACAUUGGAAACGCUGCAUUUAGCCUUUUAUUGGAUGAGUCCACUGACAUUGGUGUAACAAAAAUUCUUGGAGUCGCUAUUAGCUAUUUUAGCAAAUCCAAAGGGGAUGUAGUGUCGACAUUCUUAGGCCUCGAACAAGUUGAGACAGCAGAUGCAGUUUCGAUAGCAGAUACCAUAAAGAAGUUGCUGUUAAGCAAAAAUUUAAACAUUGGCAAUAUGAUUGGUAUCGGCACAGUUAACGCUAGAAAAUCUGUACCGCCUCUCAAGCUCAUAAAAUGCGUAUGCCACUCAAUUCAACUGGCAGUAACAAAGGCUUGACCGAAGGUAUUGCCGGACUGCUUAGAAUUUCUUGUGCAUGAGACUUACUCAUGGUUUUGUAAAAGCUCAAGUCGCCAGUUACAAUACAAAAAACUGUAUCAAUGUUUAAAUGAUGAGCAGGUAUAUGUACAUAUGAACACAUGUAUUAACAAAAAUAAUCAGAAUUGUGAUCGUCUGCUAUUAAUUUACUAACGAUAUAUAUAUGUGAUGAAGCUUUCUUUUUUGAUGUGUACCAGCUACAUGUUAUUUGCAAAAAUUUUCUGUAUAAAAUUUAAUCAACUGUUUAUUUAUUAUUAUUUAGAAUCCUUUGAAAAUACCAAGAGUGUGUGACACAAGAUGGCUGUCUAUUGAGAAUGCAGUUUCCCGAAUCGCGGACCAGUGGACAGAACUAAAACUCCACUUUGAGUCAGCAGCCACUUCUGAGAAGUGUCAUAAGGCACAUAUCCUCAACGGGCUCUAUAAAGAUGUUGAUAAAUUACCUUUAUUUAUUAUUUUUGAGGCCUAUAUUAAAGGAGAUGCAAGCCCCUAAUAAAAACUUUCAAAGUAGAAAUGGCAAUCCAACCCAACUAUAUUCGGAUGUCAUAAUGGCCAUCAACUCUUUGAAAGUGAAAAUUAUACCACCUGAUUGCGAAAUCAAUAUUUUAAAGGAUGACUUUAAAGACAAAGCAGAUGCGAACAUAUAUUUAGGGUAUGCCUUUGAAAAAAAGAUUAAAGAACUUAAUUUUCAAUCACAUGAGAUGGAAAUUAGAACAAUUUGUAUGGACUUUAUAAUUGAGUUAAUAAUUUAACUUCGAGAAAGAUUUUAGAACAUUAAAACAAUGCAACACGUCAAUUUGUUUUCAGUUCAAAAUAUGCUAAGACCCUCUAAAUCUGAAGAUAUUCUCGAUGUCUUAGAAUAUUUUGAAUGUCAAGACAUUGACAACAUUAAAAUCCAAAUGGAUAAAAUUAAUUUUAUUAAAUGGGAGUGUGUGGAUGACAACAUCAAAUUUUGGACUGAAGUCCUGAAUAAUAAGGACGCUGGGAACCAAAAUCCUUUCAAUGAAUUAGCAGAUUUUGCGCUCAAAAUCUUUUCCCUCCCAUCGUCGAACGCUGAAGUUGAGCGAAUAUUCUCCCAAUGAAUUGCGCAACCGUAUGAGCCUUAAAACAUUAAAUGCGAUAUUACAUAUAAGGUAUGGACUACAUAGGCAUGACAAAUGUUGCCAAAACUAUGUACUUCCCUACGAGUACUUAGUUAAAAUUUCAGCAAACGAGAAGUACACGGAUAAUAACGAAGCAGAUGAAUUGGACGAAAU